rnacentral:rRNA from 1 species
GAUCCUGGCUCAGGAUUAACGCUGGCGGCGUGCCUAAUACAUGCAAGUCGGAUGGUUAGCUUGCUAACCAUGGCGAACGGGUGAGUAACACGUAGGCAACCUGUCUAAUAGACGAGGAUAACCAUUGGAAACGAUGGAUAAUACUGGAUAGGAUUAUUUAGGGCAUCCUAGAUAAUUUAAAGAUUUAUCACUUUUAGAGGGGCCUGCGGCGCAUUAGCUAGUUGGUAGGGGUAAAGGCCUACCAAGGCGAUGAUGCGUAGCCGGACUGAGAGGUUGAACGGCCACAAUGGGACUGAGAACGGCCCAUACUCCUACGGGAGGCAGCGGUAGGGAAUUUUCGGCAAUGGGCGGAAGCCUGACCGAGCAACGCCGCGUGAACGAAGAAGUAUUUCGGUAUGUAAAGUUCUUUUAUUUGGGAAGAAAAGACAGAUUGACUGUACCAAAUGAAUAAGCUCCGGCUAACUACGUGCCAGCCGCCGC